GGGGAAGCAAGCCAGUAAGAAACAUCUCUCCAUGGCCUCUGCAUCAGCUCCUACUUCCUGAUCUGCUUGAUUUCCAGUUCUGACUUCAUUUGGUGAGGGACAGCAAUGUGGAAAUCUUCUUUGAUGAGGGGUGAGAGCUACAUUGAUCUGUGGAUGUGGAGGCAAUGUGGCUUCCUCAGAUAAUGGUACUUGAAUGACUCAUGGUAUUGAUGCCCCAAGUCUCAAGGGACCUAAUGUGUUUGUCCUCUGACACUGAUGUGGAACCCGGCACUUUGUGAGAAGCAGUGUCAAGGAUCACUCUACCUGCCCUGUCACAUUCAUGGGGGUUUGCCAGCUCCGCAUGACCAGACGUGGUUCUGGGGGAGGACUGGCACCUAAAGAAAACCACAUGUGACUGGCCACAAGCUCACCUCACCAGGCUCCUGGAUCUUAUGGCUAGCACCAUCAGCUCCUUUCUGCGUCCCACACACAUUCCCCAGUGUGUACGUUGCUCUCUCAUGACUGUGAACGAACACAAGGAGCACACAAGACCUGUGAGACCAACUCACCCCGCUCUGCCCCAUCACAAACGGAUGUCCUAUGAAACUCAAGACCCACGUGCCCUGCAAAGGGGAAACCUUGACAAACUCAUUACCAGACGGCCUCUUUCAAUUUCAAGAAAAAUUGUGGUCUUCUACUUCUAACGGAAUACCUAAAACAUCCGAGGAGCAUUUAAGGAAAAAUCCCCUGAGUACUGGGUCUACCACAUUAAUCCAUUAAAAUGCAAAGGCAUUACAAAAGGAUGGAACUUCUCUAGUGGCUCAUGCUAGACAGUUCCACACUGCUUGCUGAAACUGGAAGAUGACACAGGCAGAAAUGGGCAUGGGCAAGACUCCGCCUGCCUAGGAGUUCCAAUGCCAUCCUCUCUAGUGCUUCACACACGUCUGACAGCUAAU
rnacentral:lncRNA from 1 species